rnacentral:rRNA from 1 species
UACGUAGGUGGCAAGCGUUGUCCGGAUUUACUGGGCGUAAAGAGCGCGCAGGCGGUCGUUCAAGUCGCGUGUGAAAGCCCCCGGCUCAACUGGGGAGGGUCACGCGAUACUGAUCGACUCGAAGGCAGGAGAGGGAAGUGGAAUUCCCGGUGUAGUGGUGAAAUGCGUAGAUAUCGGGAGGAACACCAGUGGCGAAGGCGGCUUUCUGGUCUGCUCUUGACGCUGAGGCGCGAAAGCUAGGGUAGCAAACGGG